AGGUUGAGGGUGAUCUGGCUGCAACACUUGUCACCCCACUGAUCGCCAAGGUUGAUUCGGCUGAUCUGGCUGGUUAGGUGGGUGUUCUCUUCCUUUCUCACUGUCCCAUGUGCAUUUCUCCCGAAGGUGCGGGCUCUGUUCCUGUUGGUCUUUCCAGAACAGAGAGAGACCACUAUGAGCAGCUGGGUGCCCGGCUAGAACCUCCAAAUAAGUUCUCAAGAAUUGGGAAGUCAGAGAGGGUGUUAUGGGCAAGAAAAAAUCUAGGGAAAGU
rnacentral:snRNA from 1 species